rnacentral:rRNA from 1 species
UACGUAGGGAGCAAGCGUUGUCCGGAAUCAUUGGGCGUAAAGCGCGCGUAGGUGGCUUCGUAAGUCCGUUGUGAAAGUCAAAGGCUCAACCUUUGAAAGCCGAUGGAUACUGCGGAGCUAGAGUACGGAAGAGGCGAGUGGAAUUCCUGGUGUAGCGGUGGAAUGCGCAGAUAUCAGGAGGAACACCAAUAGCGAAGGCAGCUCGCUGGGACGUUACUGACGCUGAGGCGCGAAAGCGUGGGGAGCGAACAGG